AAUAAGACUAAGAAUUCUAUUUCCUUGGAUUAAAGGAAGUUAGCAACCAGGGCCCUGUGCUGGGCACAUCAGAAUCCAGAAAGUAAAAAAGAACAUUUCUUCUGAACUGCUUAAUGAGUGUAAGAUAGAAAGGAUGGUGAAUAGAGCCAGAGUGGAUGGGGAGAACGAGGCAAAAGCCAGGAACGAGGCUGGAAUGAGUGAAAGUGAACAAGGGGGAGAGUAAAGUUGGCCAACAUGUGUGAGGGGGUCUGGGAACUUCUGAGCUGGGGAGAACACAUUUGUUAGAGCAAAGGCGUGAGCACAUGCAGUGGCUGUGUUACCUCCUGUGAAUCUGACCUUCCUUCCACCCUUCUGGAGCUUAUCCCGAUGACCUGGGAAACCAGGGAGACACUGAGCCCAAACCUCUUGUUGUCCCACCCUACCUGUAGAAGCCCAGCUCUUUGCAGCUUCAGGCCCUGUGUCUGAUCCCAGAAGGAUAAGGACUAUCCUCCCAUGAAGACCACCAUCAGUUAUGGUUGUUGUUUGGCCUGGAAACCAAUCUUUUCCUUUGCAAUAUUGGGUGUCACAAUUCUUUGGUUUGUGCACAAGAAUAAACGUAUGCUCACAAC
rnacentral:lncRNA from 1 species